AUUGAACGCUGGCGGCAGGCCUAACACAUGCAAGUCGAGCGGUAACACAGAGGAGCUUGCUCCUUGGGUGACGAGCGGCGGACGGGUGAGUAAUGCCUGGGGAUCUGCCCGAUAGAGGGGGAUAACUACGGGAAACUGUAGCUAAUACCGCAUAAUGUCUACGGACCAAAGUGGGGGCUCUUCGGACCUCAUGCUAUCGGAUGAACCCAGGUGGGAUUAGCUAGUUGGUGAGGUAAUGGCUCACCAAGGCGACGAUCUCUAACUGGUUUGAGAGAAUGACCAGUCACACUGGAACUGAGACACGGUCCAGACUCCUACGGGAGGCAGCAGUGGGGAAUAUUGCACAAUGGGCGCAAGCCUGAUGCAGCCAUGCCGCGUGUGUGAAGAAGGCCUUCGGGUUGUAAAGCACUUUCAGCGGGGAGGAAGGGUCACUAGUUAAUACCUAGUGGCAUUGACGUUACUCGCAGAAGAAGCACCGGCUAACUCCGUGCCAGCAGCCGCGGUAAUACGGAGGGUGCAAGCGUUAAUCGGAAUUACUGGGCGUAAAGCGCACGCAGGCGGUUUGUUAAGUCAGAUGUGAAAUCCCCGAGCUCAACUUGGGAACUGCAUUUGAAACUGGCAAGCUAGAGUCUUGUAGAGGGGGGUAGAAUUCCAGGUGUAGCGGUGAAAUGCGUAGAGAUCUGGAGGAAUACCGGUGGCGAAGGCGGCCCCUGG
rnacentral:rRNA from 1 species